AAAUAUGCUGAGGUGAUGUAUUGCAAAUUAGCCAACAUACAACAAUAUGGAUGACCCUCUGUCUGGUCAACAGGAGUUUAAAUAUGGACGGGACAGUUAUGUGGCAGCUCUUCCCUGGCUCAUUCACCUCUUGCCUUCAUUUGUGAAAGGAAGAAAGAAGAUAGAGGGUCAAUGUGCAACUGAAGCUACUGAUUGUGCUAUGUGAUGAGCAUCAAUCCAUGCUUUGAGGUGGAUGAAUCAGCACAGCCCUGCCUGCACUGCGUUGGGAACAGAAGUUGCAUCCAGAAUUUUUGCAUCAUUCUGGACCAAAAAGCCAUUCCCUCCAUGAUGAAGACCACUGAUGCAGCCUUCCACUACAUCAUGAGUAAAACAACUACAGAACUAAAUACCAGGUUGGAACGUAUUUAAGAAAAAUGAAACGUCUUUUGAAUUGAAAUGUCUGUUUUGUUAUGGAUAAAUCUUUAGUAUUGUGAAGGAUAAGCAUUUCUGCCUGCCAGUAAGGUAAUUGCAGUGUAUUUUAAUGUUCAAGUUUUGAGUAGGGUGGCUAAUUUUUUUUAAACUCUCAUUUGAUAUAUUAAAGACCUUAUAAUAAGUGGUUUUCAUGUCACUGCGCUGUGGUAUAAGAUAACUUUCAUUAUUCCAUACUGUAUUCUGUUUCUAAUUGUAGCUGAGGUAUUUAAAUAAGCAGUAUUAAAUGCAAAGUGUUGUGUGUAUCAAUGUAAAUAUUAAAUGUGAUGUACUUUAAUAAAAAGAGGUUUUGCAAUA